rnacentral:lncRNA from 1 species
GGUGGGUUUGAGAUAUGAAAACUUGAAAAAAUGGUAAAAUUUUCGAAGUUAUAAACUUAUGAAAUUGAAGCAAUUUGCUGGAAAACAUGGUCUCAGGCGUGUCGCGGGGGUCCCAUGCCCUCCUCCGCGUGUGCCUAGCUAAAUAGUCAAAAAGUCAAAUAAAAUCCUUUUUCACAUUGAAGUCAGAUCAAUUACCCUACAAACCAUCUCUCCUAUUUGAGCUAUUUCCCUUCUUCUCCGGUGACAUACCAUCGAUUCCUACAACCAAAUACACCACCGUCCUGCUCCUUCUUACUUGCCCACAUACCAUCUUCUUCGCCGGAGAUCACCGUACACCACCUCCAUCACGGCAACCACUGCCGCCACCCACAACACAACCACCGGCGACGAUUCACCUCCUUCUUCAUUCCGACCGACCUCCGAUUAUUUCAUCGGAGAACAUCCUGAUAUCCGGCGAACGACCAUCGAACCACCACCACCAUCGACUGCCACCAUGCUGACCGAUUACCACCGAGUGACCACCAUCGUCUCUCACAACGACCAUCGUCUCUUACAACGAUCAAGCAACCACCACUGUUCAUCUUUGAUUAAUACUAACGUUUUUUAGUUUUCUCUAACUUGCAGUCAACUCGGGAAUUCAGGUGUGAAUGUUUACUAUUUCUCUAUGGUGUCGAUUGCUUUUGUCCAUAUUCAAUCUUCAUUUGGACGAAAGUGAUUCGAACAAUCAGAUAAAGACAGGCGUCCCAUGUUGAAGCAGCCGCGAAUGAAAUGCUAUACGGUUGUGGUGGAACAAGGCUCGUAGGAAUUCAACCGCAUCAAAUCAGGGGAGUCUAUUCCAUUUAUCUAUGUAUUUUUAUUUAUGUUUUAGUGUGUUAAUAGUUUCUCGCUCCAUUGAGGACAAUGUAAGAAUUAAGUGUGGGGAGGGGAAACUAGCGUCUAGUGUGUCUUAGUUGUGUUAGUGUCGUGUCGAAAAAAAUAAAUAAAAAAUUGAAAAAAUCAAAAAUCCAAAAAAAAAAAAGUUGAAAAAAAUAGAAAAUGUCCCGUAAAAGUUUUCGCACAAAAUGGAAAAUGAUAGGUGUAAUUGAAUCAGUGGCAUUUCGAUUACUAUAUAUACGAGAUAAUAAAUAAUCGAUCACACGUCUAAUUUAGGAUAUGUGGGUAGGCCCAGCUGGUUGAAAGGUUCCUUAGGCUUGAUAUAAAAUAACUUAAAAUAGGAGUCUUGUGGGUUCUCGCCUUAGGAGCUAUGACAAAGCUGAAACUGUGGAAAGUAUAAGGGGUACGUCAUAAGUAAAAAACUUAUAAGUUUUUCCGAUUAAAUUGGCACACCUGUUUCUUUUUGUGAAAACAAAUCCGAAACAGUGUGGCGCCCAAAAAAAAAAAAAUUUUCCAUCCAUCCAUCUGAGCACAUGUAAAAAAAAAAAACGUGAAGUUUAUGGCAUUAACCAUGGGGAUGGUGACUCGUAUGGCGUAUGUCCGCUGAACUGAUCGUAUACAGAAGCAUGUAAGCUCACAAUAUCAUCCAUUCAUCCAUCAUAAAGUUUAAUCGGAAUAAUAUAAGAGUUUUUUAUAUAAGGCGGUAGAUUAUAAAUCUUUUAAUCUCAUAAGCUUGAAACGGGAAUAGGUGGAGUCGUAGUCUUUUGAGUGUGGGAUCCAUAGAUGACUAUAUAAUACUUGAACUUAAUGGAUUGAAAAUAAGGGCUUUGAAACCGGCGGUUGGGUUUAAGUGGACCGUAUAUCCACAAUCUUGGUUAACGUGAGAUGUGAUUUGUUUUAAUAAAAUAAUUGAAUACAUUGGAAGCCAUUUGUUUUGAUUGUGAUUCCAUUGCGAAUAAUUUUUUCGCGGACGAAAAAAGAUAAGUGUGGGGAUUUGAUCGGUGCAUUUUUAGUUCACGUUAUUGGAUAUUAUUUAUAAUAAAAAUGAAUUGAUAUGAGCAUAGUAUAUGUAUAUAUGUAUUAAAAGACAUAAAACUAGAAAAGUAGAUCUAAAUGAUUAGUAAAACGAUUGUAAUAUUUUGUAAGGUUAUAAUGGGUUGAUAUUUUAAUUUAUAUUGAAACCAUAUGUUAACAGGAAGUCAAAGUUGUAUUUGAUCUAAAAGAAUUGAUGUGAGCUCUCGUGAAUCAUGUGGGGACAUGGGCUAUUGCAAAACAUAAAAGUAAUUGGGCUUGACAUCAAAAUUAAAGAGAAUAUGGGUUGUUUGUUUGACCGACAACAAGGAAAGCAUAAAAGGUAUUUUACGGCAGAAUUUUAGGAGGAUUCAUUCAGCAGCCGUCGCACAACACAAACGAGGGACGAAUUCAUCAUCUUUAUUUAUCUUCCAAGCCAAUCUAUGAGGUCUAACCUAAUCGGGAUGACAACCGAAGCGGUAAAGAUCACCAUGCGCGGCUAAACUUCUCGUGACUUCUGCCCAGACGAACGUUUACGUGGUUUGACAUAAUUAUUUGUUUUUCUGAUUCUUGUAAACUGGUACAGCUUGACCACUUGUGUUGGAUUAUUGGUAAACUUUUCUUGUGUUU